rnacentral:rRNA from 1 species
UACAGAGGGGGGCAAGCGUUUAUUCGGAAUUAUUGGGCGUAAAGGGCGCGUAGGCGGCUUUGCAAGUGACGGGUGAAAUCCCUCGGCUUAACCGAGGAACUGCCUGUCAGACUGCAUGGCUCGAGACCAGGAGAGGUGAGUGGAAUUCCCAGUGUAGCGGUGAAAUGCGUAGAUAUUGGGAGGAACACCGGUGGCGAAGGCGGCAUCCUGGACCGGUAUUGACGCUGAGGCGCGAAAGCCAGGGGAGCAAACGGG